rnacentral:rRNA from 1 species
AUUGAACGCUGGCGGCAGGCCUAACACAUGCAAGUCGAACGAGUGGCGGACGGGUGAGUAAUGUCUGGGGAACUGCCCGAUGGAGGGGGAUAACUACUGGAAACGGUAGCUAAUACCGCAUACCAUCGGAUGUGCCCAGAUGGGAUUAGCUAGUAGGUGGGGUAAUGGCUCACCUAGGCGACGAUCCCUAGCUGGUCUGAGCGGAUGACCAGCCACCCUGGAACUUAGACACGGUCCCGACUCCGACGGGAGGCAGCAGUGGGAAAUAUUGCACAAGGGGCGCAAGCCUGAUGCAGCCAUGCCGCGUGUAUGAAGAAGGCCUUCGGGUUGUAAAGUACUUUCAGCGGGGAGGCGUUACCCGCAGAAGAAGCACCGGCUAACUCCGUGCCAGCAGCCGCGGUAAUUC